rnacentral:rRNA from 1 species
UGGGUAAUCUGCCCUCGAUUCUGGGAUAGCCCCGGGGAAACCCGGAUUAAUACCGGAUAGCCUUUCGAGCUUACGAGCUCUUGAGGAAAUGUAGCUUCGGCCUACGAUCGAGGAUGAGCCCCGCGGCGGAUUAGCUUGUUGGUGGGGUAAUGGCCCACCAAGGCUACGAUCCGUAGCUGGUCUGAGAGGACGAUCAGCCACACUGGGACUGAGACACGGCCCAGACCUCCGUACGGGAGCAG